rnacentral:rRNA from 1 species
CAGAAGAAGCACCGGCUAACUCCGUGCCAGCAGCCGCGGUAAUACGGAGGGUGCGAGCGUUAAUCGGAAUUACUGGGCGUAAAGCGCAUGCAGGUGGUUUGUUAAGUCAGAUGUGAAAGCCCGGGGCUCAACCUCGGAAUAGCAUUUGAAACUGGCAGACUAGAGUACUGUAGAGGGGGGUAGAAUUUCAGGUGUAGCGGUGAAAUGCGUAGAGAUCUGAAGGAAUACCGGUGGCGAAGGCGGCCCCCCUGGACAGAUACUGACACUCAGAUGCGAAAGCGUGGGGAGCAAACAGGAUUAGAUACCCUGGUAGUCCACGCCGUAAACGAUGUCUACUUGGAGGUUGUGGCCUUGAGCCGUGGCUUUCGGAGCUAACGCGUUAAGUAGACCGCCUGGGGGGGAGUACGGUCGCAAGAUUAAAACUCAAAUGAAUUGACGGGGGGGGCCCGCACAAGCGGUGGAGCAUGUGGUUUAAUUCGAUGCAACGCGAAGAACCUUACCUACUCUUGACAUCCAGAGAACUUUCCAGAGAUGGAUUGGUGCCUUCGGGAACUCUGAGACAGGUGCUGCAUGGCUGUCGUCAGCUCGUGUUGUGAAAUGUUGGGUUAAGUCCCGCAACGAGCGCAACCCUUAUCCUUGUUUGCCAGCGAGUAAUGUCGGGAACUCCAGGGAGACUGCCGGUGAUAAACCGGAGGAAGGUGGGGGGGACGACGUCAAGUCAUCAUGGCCCUUACGAGUAGGGCUACACACGUGCUACAAUGGCGCAUACAGAGGGCGGCCAACUUGCGAGAGUGAGCGAAUCCCAAAAAGUGCGUCGUAGUCCGGAUUGGAGUCUGCAACUCGACUCCAUGAAGUCGGAAUCGCUAGUAAUCGUGGAUCAGAAUGCCACGGUGAAUACGUUCCCGGGCCUUGUACACACCGCCCGUCACACCAUGGGAGUGGGCUGCAAAAGAAGUAGGUAGUUUAACCUUCGGGGGGGACGCUUACCACUUUGUGGUUCAUGACUGGGGGGGUGAAGUCGUAACAAGGUAGCGCUAGGGGAACCUGGCGCUG